rnacentral:rRNA from 1 species
AGUGAACGCUGGCGGUAGGCCUAACACAUGCAAGUCGAACGGCAGCACAGUAAGAGCUUGCUCUUACGGGUGGCGAGUGGCGGACGAGUGAGGAAUACAUCGGAAUCUACUUUUUCGUGGGGGAUAACGUAGGGAAACUUACGCUAAUACCGCAUACGACCUACGGGUGAAAGCAGGGGAUCUUCGGACCUUGCGCGAUUGAAUGAGCCGAUGUCGGAUUAGCUAGUUGGCGGGGUAAAGGCCCACCAAGGCGACGAUCCGUAGCUGGUCUGAGAGGAUGAUCAGCCACGCUGGAACUGAGACACGGUCCAGACUCCUACGGGAGGCAGCAGUGGGGAAUAUUGGACAAUGGGCGCAAGCCUGAUCCAGCCAUACCGCGUGGGUGAAGAAGGCCUUCGCGUUGUGAAGCCAUUUUGUUGGGAAAGAAAAGCAGCAGGUUAGUACCCCGCUGUUGUGACGGUACCAAAAGAAUAAGCACCGGCUCACUUCGUG